CUAGCCCUAGAUCCAUCUCCUCUCUCAUUUCUUCGGUUCUUUCUCUUAGCCCUAGAUCUAUCUCUUCUGGGCUUUUUCCUUUCUUUCCAUUGACAGUUUCAAACUCACCCAUUUCUCUCAUUAGGCUGCUGGAAGUGGUCGACAACAACCACAACAACGGCGGUAGAGGCGGCGGCGAGGAUCAUGACCGGAACGCAGAUGAUUGGGAUUGGGCGGCCCUGCUAUCGCAAUCGUACAACUAGAAUGAACUGGAUGAGAUGCAGAGGAGCUGGCUUCUCGGUCCGGUGGAGGGAAAGAAAAACAGAUAUGUUGACCUCAUGUCGAAGAAGGCUUUGAAAUAGGAAUACUGGUGGAAUCAAGAUGUGCCCAUCCUAUUUUAUUUUCGGACGACCCAUGAAAGUUAGAGAGACGAAGAUGAGCAAAGCAAUAAUGACUUGAAGGAAGAGGCUUUCGAGAUGUCGUACCACGAGCCUUCAAAGAUUUAGCUGAAAAGUUUGUAAGAGUAUACUCCACGAGCAAAGAUGAUAGAAGACUUACAAUGCAAAGCCUCAACAUAAUAGCGACUCUGAUUCAUUGAACAACAAAGAGAAUACUUUAUCUUGUAUCAUUUGAAUACAUUAGUU